UGCUAGGUAGCUCAGUGGUUAAGCCGUUUGAGUACUGCUCAGAAGGUUGUGUGUUCAAAUCCCAGCAUUGCCAA